UGAAUAGUAUGGAAGUAACUAGAAUAUGUAGUGUAGCGGUGAAAUGCUUAGAUAUUACAUGGAAUACCAAUUGCGAAGGCAGGUUACUACGUACUUAUUGACGCUGAUGAACGAAAGCGUGGGUAGCGAACAGGAUUAGAUACCCUGGUAGUCCACGCCGUAAACGAUGGAUACUAGCUGUUCGGACUUCGGUUUGAGUGGCUAAGCGAAAGUGAUAAGUAUCCCACCUGGGGAGUACGUUCGCAAGAAUGAAACUCAAAGGAAUUGACGGGGGCCCGCACAAGCGGUGGAGCAUGUGGUUUAAUUCGAUGAUACGCGAGGAACCUUACCAGGGCUUAAAUGUAGAUUGACAGGUUUGGAAACAGACUUUUCUUCGGACAAUUUACAAGGUGCUGCAUGGUUGUCGUCAGCUCGUGCCGUGAGGUGUCAGGUUAAGUCCUAUAACGAGCGCAACCCCUAUUGUUAGUUACCAGCGCGUUAAGGCGGGGACUCUAGCAAGACUGCCGGUGCAAACCGUGAGGAAGGUGGGGAUGACGUCAAAUCAUCACGGCCCUUACGUCCUGGGCUACACACGUGCUACAAUGGCAAGUACAGAAAGCAGCUACCUGGCAACAGGAUGCGAAUCUCCAAAGCUUGUCUCAGUUCGGAUUGGAGUCUGCAACUCGACUCUAUGAAGCUGGAAUCGCUAGUAAUCGGAUAUCAGCCAUGAUCCGGUGAAUACGUUCCCGGGCCUUGUACACACCGCCCGUCAAGCCAUGGAAGC
rnacentral:rRNA from 1 species